GUGCUCACUUUGACAGCACUUAUACUAAAACUGGAGCAAUACAGAAAUUAGCAUGGCCCCUGUGCAAGGAUGACAUGCACAUUCAUGAAGCAUUCUAUAUUUUU